rfam:Ixodes scapularis strain Wikel colony gcontig_1108378458172, whole genome shotgun sequence.
UAAACGGCCCUUUUCAGGGCCCCCAUAUUUUGCAAACGGAGCUGUGU